AACGAACGCUGGCGGCAUGCCUAACACAUGCAAGUCGAACGAAGUCUUCGGACUUAGUGGCGCACGGGUGCGUAACGCGUGGGAAUCUGCCCUUGGGUGCGGAAUAACUUCUCGAAAGGGAUGCUAAUACCGCAUAAUGUCGUAAGACCAAAGAUUUAUCGCCCAAGGAUGAGCCCGCGUAAGAUUAGCUAGUUGGUGGGGUAAAAGCCUACCAAGGCGACGAUCUUUAGCUGGUCUGAGAGGAUGAUCAGCCACACUGGGACUGAGACACGGCCCAGACUCCUACGGGAGGCAGCAGUGGGGAAUAUUGGACAAUGGGCGAAAGCCUGAUCCAGCAAUGCCGCGUGAGUGAUGAAGGCCUUAGGGUUGUAAAGCUCUUUUACCCGGGAUGAUAAUGACAGUACCGGGAGAAUAAGCUCCGGCUAACUCCGUGCCAGCAGCCGCGGUAAU
rnacentral:rRNA from 1 species